GCAGACACAUUCCAGCCAAUCAGUAGCAGACCCUCCCUCCCAGACCCUCCCACCUCCUGGACAGCAUCCAUUGUGAAGCUGCAUUCCUAGUUAAACUGUCCAGGAGGUGGGAGGGUCUGGGAGGGAGGGUCUGCUGCUGAUUGGCUGGAAUGUGUCUG
rnacentral:miRNA from 1 species